GCUGACUCUCUUUUCAGACUCAGCCCACUUGCACCCAAGUGAAUUAACAGCCUUGUUGCUCACACAAAGCCUGUUUAGGUGGUCUUCUAUACGGACAUGCUUGACACUUGGUGCCAAAAUCUGGGCCAGGGGGACUCCUUCGUGAGACCGGCCCCCUGUCCUGGCCCUCAUUCCGUGAAGAGAUCCACCUGCGACCUCGGGUCCUCAGACCAGCCCAAGGAACAUCUCACCAAUUUCAAAUCGGAUCUCCUCGGCUUAGUGGCUGAAGACUGAUGCUGCCCGAUCGCCUCAGAAGCCCCUUGGACCAUCACAGAUGCCGAGCUUCGGGUAACUCUUACGGUGGAGGCACACCAACUGCCGUCCAUCUGCAGGACCCUCUCCAUUGGGUUCACCAUUCCAGAAUAAAGCCAUGCCCAUCAGACAGCCAGCUUGAUCUCUCCUCUUCCUCCUGGAAGCCACAAGAUUAGGCCGAGAGCCGAUCAGACAAACAACCUACAACCCUUAAGCUCCUGGCAGCGCCCAGCCAAGGCCAUGCUUCCUUGCAACACUCCUUCCAAAUGGCCAUCCCAGCAUGCUUCCAAGCAGGCUUCAUCCGUUCCUCUGGACCCUCAUCUCUUAAGACCUGCCGCCUAUAAAAAGGAUUAUAUCUUGAGACCCUAUCCUCUAAAAUUUUUUCCACACCCAAAACAAAAAAUCUCUGGGUCAAAAGUCUAAAACGCUUAGGCUGGCAACCAUCAGAUCCUUGCCCAUGGUGUCCUCAAGCCUACUCUCAUGAAAUGGACAACAGUACACGCAUAUGGGGCCAGUUCCACAUAUUUGGCAACCAGACCAGCAUCCAGGACAACACAAAGUAUGUUGUUUGUUGUUAGAGGGCUUGGGACAUUUCACUCUUUGCCAGCCUCAGCUUAAUCCAGGAGACAAAGAUUAUUUUCCUUAUUAUCUCUUCUGCAUAGGAUCUGCAAUCAGAACUAUUGAACUUCUCCAUUCAGACCGCCACUCACACCUAUGGGAAAAGGGUAAUGUAUCAUCGGCUUAGCAACAGGGAAUACUAUUCGUAUGAUGGAAAAUGGGGACAAAAGGCUUUGGUACAUAAAACAUUAUUCCUUCCUUGGCCUAAAAACUCAUCGCCACCUACAUUAAAGCUAAUAUGCCUGA
ensembl:lncRNA UCA1 urothelial cancer associated 1